ensembl:lncRNA
GAGAGAAAGUAUUAUUUUAAAGGAGGAAGUCUGGGUGUGUCAGAUGCUGCUGAUGGAUCAAGAGGAAGAAUGAUCAGCAGUUCCCGUGGUGGCGCAGUGGUUAAUGAAUCCGACAGGGAACCAUGAGGUUGCAGGUUCAAUCCCUGGCCUUGCUCAGUGGGUUAAGGAUCCGGCGUUGCCGUGAGCUGUGGUGUAGGUUGCAGACGCGGCUCGGAUCCCGCGUUGCUGUGGCUGUGGUGUAGGCUCCCAUUGGACCCCUAGCCUGGGAACUUCCAUAUGCCAUGGGAGCGGCCCAAGAAAUGGCAAAAAGACAAAAAAAAAAAAAAAAAAGAGAGAGAGAGAAAGAAUGAUCAUUCACCCCUGGAGUGUGAAAGAGGAAGAUUCUUGGGCAGUCAUUAACAAGAUGGGGGAUGUUUUUAAGUUUCUCAAAGAGCCCUUUCUUUUCUCAUCCCAGGUCUCCGUUGUCUGCUAAUACUUUCCUGUCUUUCUCAUAGUCAGAAUCCUGUAGUCACCUCAGUAGCCACGAUUAAUUCUUUGGAGAAAGCUUUUCUUUUCUUUUUUUCCUUUCAUAACUAAAUGUGAGGGCCUCUCGCUCUUAGGCCGUUGCUUACAAUAAAGACUGUGGACUCUGUAUCUAUUGUCAGCGUUUCACACCUAUUUCCUGCCACUCUCUGGGGUCUCCGCGUUAGAAACCGUAAGGUAACUUUUGAAAACCAAGUUCCAUUUAGCUUUCCCCACUAAUAUCUAAAUAGUGUGCUGCUGCUGCUGCUGCUUUGUUAAAUGGCCACAGGAGCAACAUAUGGACGUUCCCAGGGACUGAAUCUGAGCCACGAGCCCCGGCUGCGGCGAUGCUGAAUUCUUAGCCCCUUAAAGAAGAGGACACAGCGGGACAGUGUAUUCUUUUGAAUUUCCUGUUAUGCCCACUUGCCAAUGUUGAUCCCACGGUGUGUUGAUUCCUUGGUAUCUUCGUGUUUCAGGAGGGCCGAUCUCUCCAGGAGGGAAAGAUUCGUCCUUACCGUGUCACAAGGCUUCCAGGCAAAUGGGUGCGGUGGUCUGUUGUUGAAGAUUUGGGUAAGUCUGUCCUGUACACGUGUUCCCCAAAUGCUGAUGAGGACAUCUCUAAUGUCCCUGGGGCUCUGAGCUAAGUUCCUGGCUCCUGCACCUUCAUGAAGCCCAUGUAAUUCAUAGCAGUUGAGCUUCACCUCCACUUUGCAGGGUGACUCAUGGAAAGGCAUUUGUGACUCCAGCUGAGAAGCUGCUAUUUCCCUCCAUCUCCAACUCCUGAGCUCCAUCUUCAGCCGUUAAUAGGUUACACCUUGUAUCCUAAGAUGUUGUGUUAAUGAUAUAUUCACGUAUACGUAUCGUAUUACCUCGUCUAUAUGGUGAAGUCUUUGCGCCCAGGGAACACAAGGGUCUGUUUGUAUUUGAAUGUGGCACCUGGUUUAGUGCCCAGUCCAGCAGUUUCCACAUUCUCUUGGCCACCAAAGUCAUCUGAGGCGUUCGUUAUCAAUGCAUAUGCCAAGGCCCCUCCCCCAGGUACUGCGAUUUAAAAAUUCCAGCGUGUGGAGUUCCCGUCGUGGCUCAGUGGUUAACGAAUCCGACUAAGAACCAUGAGGUUGCAGGUUCGAUCCCUGGCCUUGCUCCGUGGGUUAAGGAUCCGGCAUUGCCAUGAGCUGUAGGUUGCAGAUGCGGCUGAGAUCCCACAUUGCUGUGGCUGUGGUGUAGGCUGGUGGCUACAGCUCCGAUUGGACCCCUAGCCUGGGAACCUCCAUAGGCCGUGGGAGCGGCCCUAGAAAAGGCAAAAAGGCAAAAAAAUAUAAAUAAAUAAAAAAAUAAUAAAAAUUAAAAUCUAGGG